rnacentral:rRNA from 1 species
CACUCCUACGGGAGGCAGCAGUGGGGAAUAUUGCACAAUGGGCGCAAGCCUGAUGCAGCCAUGCCGCGUGUAUGAAGAAGGCCUUCGGGUUGUAAAGUACUUUCAGCGGGGAGGAAGGCGAUAAGGUUAAUAACCUUGUCGAUUGACGUUACCCGCAGAAGAAGCACCGGCUAACUCCGUGCCAGCAGCCGCGGUAAUACGGAGGGUGCAAGCGUUAAUCGGAAUUACUGGGCGUAAAGCGCACGCAGGCGGUCUGUCAAGUCGGAUGUGAAAUCCCCGGGCUCAACCUGGGAACUGCAUUCGAAACUGGCAGGCUAGAGUCUUGUAGAGGGGGGUAGAAUUCCAGGUGUAGCGGUGAAAUGCGUAGAGAUCUGGAGGAAUACCGGUGGCGAAGGCGGCCCCCUGGACAAAGACUGACGCUCAGGUGCGAAAGCGUGGGGAGCAAACAGGAUUAGAAACCCUUGUAGUCCCAU